UGGGGAAUAUUGCACAAUGGGCGCAAGCCUGAUGCAGCGACGCCGCGUGAGGGAUGACGGCCUUCGGGUUGUAAACCUCUUUCAGCAGGGAAGAAGCGUGAGUGACGGUACCUGCAGAAGAAGCACCGGCUAACUACGUGCCAGCAGCCGCGGUAAUACGUAGGGUGCGAGCGUUGUCCGGAAUUAUUGGGCGUAAAGAGCUCGUAGGCGGCUUGUCGCGUCGGAUGUGAAAGCCCGGGGCUUAACCCCGGGUCUGCAUUCGAUACGGGCAGGCUAGAGUUCGGUAGGGGAGAUCGGAAUUCCUGGUGUAGCGGUGGAAUGCGCAGAUAUCAGGAGGAACACCGAUGGCGAAGGCAGUUCUCUGGGCCGUAACUGACGCUGAGGAGCGAAAGCGUGGGGAGCGAAC
rnacentral:rRNA from 1 species